rnacentral:rRNA from 1 species
UACAGGGGGGGCAAGCGUUGUUCGGAAUUACUGGGCGUAAAGGGCCAGUAGGCGGCCAACUAAGUCACACGUGAAAUCCCCAGGCUUAACCUGGGAACUGCGUGUGAUACUGGAUGGCUUGAAUUCGGGAGAGGGAUGCAGAAUUCCAGGUGUAGCGGUGGAAUGCGCAGAUAUCAGGAGGAACACCGGUGGCGAAGGCGGGAUCCUGGGCCAGUACUGACGCUGAGGAGCGAAAGCGUGGGGAGCAAACAGG